GUUUCAAUGAGUUUUCUGUGGACAAGUGAGUCACCUGACGUGAGGUGUGACCACUCGGGCCCACUGAUCAGCUGGCACUGACACAGGGGGAGGGACACCACAGAAAGAGAAGAUGAAUAACACUCACAGAAGACAGAACAGCCGUGGGCGAUCAACGGUCUUAAAGGUUGUGAUUCUUGGAGAUGGUGGGGUAGGCAAAUCCUGCCUGAUGAACCGUUUCGUAACAGACCGUUUUGAUGAGCAUUCCUUCCACACCAUUGGAGUGGAGUUCCUGAACAAAGAGAUUGAGCUGGGAGGAGAAACAUAUACAUUACAGAUUUGGGACACAGCUGGACAAGAACGAUUCAAAAGUUUAAGGACUCCUUUCUAUCGAGGCUCAGACAUGUGCCUUCUCACCUUCAGCAUAGAUGAUCCUCCCAGCUUCAAGAAUCUGGAUAUGUGGAGGAAGGAAUUUGUAUAUUAUGCUGAUGUCAAAGCUGAUUUUCCCUUUCUUGUCGUGGGCAAUAAGGUUGACUUAGAGAGAAAAGUGGAGCGUGAGGAUGCAGAAGCUUGGUGUAAAGAGAAUGGUGAUCUUCCUUACAUUGAAACCUCAGCUAAGGAUGCUACCAAUGUGGAGGCAUCUUUUAUGGUGUGUCUCAAGAGAUGGGCAAACAUAGAGGGCCACCAGGAACGACUACCCAUGCCAGAAACAGUCCAGUUGGAUGGUGGAGGGUCUCAUCAUCGACUCUGCUCCUGUUCCUCAUAGGUGUAAGGUAUUUUCAUUGAUUUAUACCUGUACUUAUAAAAGCUGGACUCUUAAUAUACUCGUCUUUGACUCAUUUUGCUGUAAAAUGAGAUAUUCCUUUGUUGUACCACUUUUUUUUUUAUUUAUUUUUUUUUAUUAUCCACAACCUUUCAUUUUUAAAACUAAAAGUAUAAACUACUUUUCCAUCAUUUCAUCUGGAUAUCAAAGUCCAUGUUUGAUAUAAUUUACAGCAGUGAUUAGCAACUAAUGUUUCAUUUCAGAUAUAUGUAAAUUCAUUUAUUUAAUUGUUCCAAAGCAAUGCAUGAUGCUGGGGACACCAGUAUCACUCUGUACAUUGGAGCAUCAUGGAAACACUGAAAAGUUGGUUUUAAGGCAUAAUAAAUUGCCCAUGAGAGGCUUUCAUUAAGGACUGAACCCCUGCUAUCAUACCUAUAAAAUGUGUCUGAUCUCAUCAGUUAGAUCACAAGUACUUGUCAAGGCCUGACUAUCUUUGCCUGUCACUUCAUGAUAUGUAUUUAUAUAUAUACACUCAACCCUUGUAGAUUGAACAUUUCGAAAUUGUAUUUUUCCCACAGCAUAUAUCCAUUUAAAUAUUGUUUCAUAUAUAUUGUGCACCUUCCAUCCGUAGUGUGCAUGUCUCAUGCUCAGCAGCCCAUGGCAUAUUUGUUUGUAGAGAAUGAAUUUUAUAGGCUGAGAGACUUUAUCAUAAAAGCUUCUCAUUGUCCCUUAACCUCACUACUGUGGUAGUAAGUUUCUGGAAACAAAAUCCAAAUUCAGGUCAGGUUGACUCUGGUCAUUCUGACUGAGACUCAUCAGCUACUUGCUCCACAAUUGCAUAUGCUCUCUCACAGGCUUUCAAUCAAAGAGAAGAGGAAGAAGACCCUAACAUACAUAGAAAAAUUGGACAUAGUGAAAUGAAUAAUUGAUGAUGGGAAAGCAAAAUUAUUAGUUGUUACCAGUUUUUAUAUCAACAAAACCAUAAGAGGGACUUACAAGCAGUUGGACUUUAUUGUAGCCCAAACUGACACAGUGAGACAGACACAACGAUAUCCCAAUUAUCAUAUCACCAAGACUGAACGACUACUGGCAAGACAGGGAUGGUGUAAAUUUAGCAGUGGCUUGGAAGUGGGGAGUAAAGGACCAUCCAUGUUCAGUACCUCCAAGGGCUGGGUGGAAAAUUCAAGGUAAGGCAUAUCAUGAAGAAUGUUGUGAUAAAUAAAGUAGGAAGGGAUGACCAUGCUAGGGCCAGGGCAUAUCAUCUCUCUGUCACAGAGUAAGAUUAGUACAUACACCGAGGACCAGAUAUUCUGUAUGGAUAAAAUAGCAUUCAUGUGGAGAAUGAUGGCUGAAGAGGCUAUCACACUAACAUUUGUAGUAUCAGCCUGCUUACAAAGUAGGAGACUAGUUUUCCUUACUGCCUUACUCUGACGUGUUAGCUUGCAACAGUUGAUUGUGAGAAUUCAAAUUAUAGUGGGUUAUAUAAUUUUCUAAUAUCAUGGUGAUGUUUAUAAUGGUAGAACUCAUGUCACUGAAAAACCUAUGAAAUAGUUUAUUUCCUGUAUGUCAAGGCUAGGCAAGUGAGAAAUUAUUAAAAAUGUAAAUUAUCAAUAUACAUGAAGAAGAACCAACUUAGAAAGUCCAGACAUUAUUUUGAUUGUUGUUUUGCUUGUAUUUCUCAAGCCAAAGAAGUGACGAACAGCAUGUCCUAUCCUAAGGGAAGAAUGAUGGUGGAGAGAUGCUGAGAUAUCACUCAUUGAAAUGAACGAGUUGUGAAGAGGAAAGGAAGAUGCUCAAAUGGAUGUGCAGAAGACUUCCUAUCAUAUGAUGUGAUGAAAACAGGGGAGAGUGAAAUUACUAGGACUUCCCUGUCACUCUUAGUAAUAUUAUCACAGUAGGUUCAACUGUCUUGUUAUAAAAAUGUUGAUUUUGUUGGUUGACAUUUACCUAAGUAAUGUUAAAUCCAUUAUUAUUUUUAUCCUCUAAGAAUAGUUAUUUAAUGGUAAUUUUUCUCUUUGAUGGUGGUUUUUGGUAAUACCCUAAUUUGUUAUAUGCUGAAAGAGUGUUAGUUUAUUAAAGUUCUCAUAUCUGAUCAGCUUAAGAAUGCAGUGGUUGAGAUAAGAGAGUCUUGAUGGACACAAAUAUAUUUUUACCAAAAUGAAAUAUUAUGAAGAAAAUCAUAAUGCUUCCCAAACACGAUAGCAGUGUUCAUCUCGUAGUUGUCAUUACACAAUGAUGUUUGUUUUAUGUUUACUUAUUAACUGAUUUAUGCAAAGAAUUUGUUGCAUGAAGUUAAUGCAUCAAUUAAUUGUGCUUCAUUCCGUCCGUUAGCCUAAACAUGGUGACAUCUAAUUCAGAAAAUGGAUUAAUGGAUUUGAAAAUGUGAAGAUAAAUACCUCUCUUGCAUCGAAAAAAUCAACUAGUAUUGGUGGAGAAUUUCAAGAGUAUGUGUAUUGAAAAAAAUUUCUUUGCAGUUACUCUUUGGUCUAGGAAAAUGUAACUUGUGAUAGAAUCCAUGCUCAGGCAUCUUGGUAUUAUUUUUGCUCAUGAGAAUGUGUUUCAUGUAAUUCAAGAAUGUGAUAUUACAUUCAGAUUAUGCAAUUAUUUGAAAACACUUUCUUUAGAUUAUUUUUAUCUUUGACAGUCAGUUUCAAGUACAAAAGACUUGUUCUUAUUUGCCAUUCUCACAAUUAAUUUGAAUUAAAGUGUUGAAUUAAGUACAGAAAGUAACAUGUCUUCAUAAAACUGUAUGUCAUCACACCACACCAACACUCUAGUUCUCUGGGAUCAUAUUACAUUUACAACACUGCACUGAGUUAGGCCAAAUGGAGUGAGAAAUAGUAUAUAAUACAAAAUCACAAGUAUAUCAUAACCAUUAAAAAGUUUCAGCAGCUGACAAAAUCCAACUAAUGCAAGCACCAAAUUUAGUGUGUUGCAGUUUCAAACUUCUGUGACUGCUGAGGAGAACAAUUUGGGGGAUAAUGACUUGGGGAAGCAAGGUGGUGGUGAGUGGAGACGGUGCUGUGUUGUAACCGUUCAGAAUGUUUAGGAUUAUUUUUCACAGAUCCACUAGCAUCCUGUUGUAAACUCCAGGUGGUUUUGUAUUAUACACUGUAUUGGAAAAACAUUGUUAUUUGAUAUUUGACUUAUGCAUUUAAGUUAAUAGAUGAAUAUGUACCCAUAUUCUGGUGUGCAUCUUAAAUUUUUUUUUCAUUAGCACUAGCAGCUUUAACUGUGUCAAUGUCCCCCCUGUCAUCUCUUCCAAUGCCACAAUGCACCUCAUCACAGUUUCUUUUGUUCAUUAAUUGUGUUAAAACCAAAGAUCAUUUCAGUUAGUUAUUUUCUUGUAUUCCUUAAUUUGGAUAACUAGAAAUAACAGAAGAUGUGAUGCUCUACAGUAAAAUAGUGCAUUAGAUGGAUAUCCGAUGUGUGUCCGAAUGUCCAACUUUUUCCAUAUAUCUCGGAGAACAAUCUAGGAUAUCAGGUGUUUAUAUGAGUGGAUGAUAUUUGAGUGUGGAUGAUUGAACAAAAAAUCAGGCCUCCUUAUUCCUCCUUUUGAUGAUGAAAUCUCUUUCUGUAUUCCUUUAUAUGAGUUGCCAUUAUUUGCUGUUAUAAAAGUUCAGGGAGCAAAUGUAGAAUCUAUUUAUAAGUUUUUUUUUCUCUCCUUGUUAAAGAUCUGUUUUAGCAUUAAUGAUCAUUCAGGCUUGAACACUAGCUGUAAUGAUAAGAGAUACAGGUAUUCUCUGGUAUACAAUUGGGUUAGGUUCCUGAAAAUCCAAUAGUAGAAUACAAAAAUAGAAUGAAUACAAAAGAUAGUAAUGUGUUCCAAGACCUUUAUACAUACAUGUACAUGUACCCUCUAAAUCUUAUAAAAAUAAUGAAAUAUCAUAUGUAGAUUCAGUUAUUGUCUCAAGUAAUAAAACAUGUUAUAUAAGUAAAGAAACUCAAGAACAAAGCAGUGAAACAAGAUAAAUCAAGAAAUGCCACUAUACAGUGAAUCCCCAGUUUUGCAAGGGAUUAUAUUCCAAAGGCACCCUUUAAGUGCUAUAUUCAACAUUAUAUUGACAUCACCACUAAAAUAGCUAUUUGUUGUUUUUAUUAAUAAGAAAAAUUAGUACAGAUUCUUGCUAAUGAUGAUGAUGACAUAGCUGUGCAGCUUGAUGUAAUGAACAGAGAGAGAGAGAGAGAGAGAAGAGAGAGAGAGAGAGAGAGAGAGAGAGAGAGAGAGAGAGAGAGAGAGAGAGAGAGAGAGAGAGAGAGAGAGAGAGAGAGAGAGAGAGAGAGGAGGGGGGGUAGUGGGACAUUGUCACCUGCCAUUCCCAAGAUCACUCACUGGCUGUCACACUGUCAUAGUUCAUCUCUCAAUCCUACGGUGGUAACUGAACCAUGAAAAGCUUGGAGUUCACUAUAUUCGUGAGCUGAGCAAAUGAGUGUGUACUUUGGCUAUUGUUAAAACAAAACCUAAUCGAUUAUGUAGCAGGCUCAAAGUAGUGGAGAAUAAAUAUUAUAAAAGUUAAAUAUAGUAUAACAGUGAAUAGCAUAUCAGGGAAUACCUGUACAUAUUUAAAAUAUAAUUUAUCUAAGUUGCCUUAAUAGUUUAAGCUUAUAUUCUUUUAUAAUUUUCCAUUAUAUUCUGUUUGCCAUUUGUAUGAAAUCAUAUUUUUGUAAAACGUGUCACUGUACAACUAAAUUCUUACUUUUGCUGAUAGUUUCUUAAUAUGAAAACUAAUGGUGAAAAGUUGCUGCAUUUUGUUAUUUUGGUUAAUUUUCUUAAUUUACAUCAUUAUUGUCAUCAUCAUCACCAUCAUCAGGAACCAUAUAUCCCUUGUUAAACAAGUUACAAAAUCAGUUUUAUGGAAAAAUUGAAGCUUUAGUCCAAACAGAAAAGGUACUUUUUGAAUCCAGUAUUCCAUGUUACUAGCGGAACUCUAAACCUCACAUUCCAUACGUGAAAGUUAUUAUUAUUAUUAUUAUUAUUAUUAUUAUUAUUAUUAUUAUUAUCAUUAUUGUUAUUAUUGUUAUUGUUAUUAGUACUAUUAUGAUUAUUAUUAUAAUUUUUUUUAUUAUUAUUAUUAUUAUUAUUAUUAUUAUCAUCAUUAUUAUUACUAUUAUCAUUAUCACUAUUAUUAUAGUUUCCCUUCACACCAGUACAGGGACCAGUAAUGUUGGUGCAACUUCUCACCCAUCAAAACUUUCAUUCCAUUAGUAAAGUUACUGCUCAUGAUCUUGUAGAACUAGUUGCCACUUUUCAUACCAAAGAAAUUGCAUCUCCUCCCAGAGUUAUUAAGUAAUACUAAUUCUGUUUAUUUUCCUAGAAAAAGAAACGUAUAAUGCAAAGAACUGUGUUGAGAAAUAGCAAUAUAUGUGAUAAAAAAAGGAUAAAAAUCUUGAAAAAAUUUGCAAAAAAUUUACAAUGUAUGACCACAAAGUUGUUUAGUAUAUCUUAGCAAAUCAGUUGUUAAACAGGGAAUUUUUUUUUAUGAAAAUGUGAAAAUCUAUUUCCAAAGUUUAUCCUGCCUCUUCACUAAUGAAAGGUAAUGUUUUAAGUAAAAUGGCUACAUUUGAUUUUGAAACUUACAAAUUUCAACAUUCUCAAGUUCCAAAAGCAAAAUUAUCAGUUUAGCUAGUUUGCAACCCAAAAUGUCAGUGGUACUGGUAAAUCGAUAAUGCGGGAAAAAUAGUUAUCGAAUAACCAAUAACCCAGUGCCAUUACCUCAAUAAAUUAUUGCGAUAAUUUAUCAUGAAAACAACCACCUAUGCUCCCUGCGACUCACAAUCACUCAUUUGUGCCCCCUAUGAUUAGAAUCCAGCCUCCAGAAGCCAGCAGCCAACAUCAUCAUUAGCAGCUUUGAUGUGAAAUUUACAGACACUCUAAAAGUACAAGUCCUCACUGAAAUCAGAAUGUGGUGAACCAUUGCUUUUGCAUACCUCCUCCUUCAGUUCCUGAAUGACUACAUGACUUUUUUGUGACCAUAGUCCUCACCUAGUCAAAGAUCUCAUCAUUUAAGCUUAUUUGUGAUCUACUGAAAUAUAAAAACUUUCCACCAAGUGGGUACAUCACAGUGUUUCAAUUUUGAGUAAGAAUUAAUUGAAAGCAAUCAAAGCUGUCAAAGGUUUUCAAUGACUUGAACAUCUGAAAGUGUUUAUCCUGAGCAGGUUGUAGAAAAGAAAACAAGUGAUUUAUAGUCCAAGAAUUAUAAAAUCUAUGGAUUUUAUUGUUUACUGUUUCAGAGAUUAUGACAUCAUUUUAGCAUGAAACAUCACAUCGUUCAGAAGUGUUGCCAUUAUUUAUAUGAAAUUUCUCCCUAAAACCACACAUUGCCAACCCUGUAAUUUCUAGCUAUUGUUAAAACAAGCAAUGGUGAAGUUUUCAGGAAUAGGACAAAAACCCACUGAUGUGAAAUGAAAUUGACUUUAUGAUAAUUUUGAUAGCUUUCAAUCAAUUAAGAGGUGUUCUGGAUAAAAGGAAAUAUUAGGUAAGCUAUUCAUGAAAUCUUGUACAGGCAGCAUUCAGGUACAUUUUAUCAGCAUUUGUCUGAAUGCUGAAGUGUACAUAUGUCUUUACACUAGACAUAUGUAUACACUUUUACCAAAGUAAAAAAUUGCUGAUAGUCAUGAAAUUUUUUUUGAGCCAAAAUAACAAAUAUGUUUGAUAUGUUUGAAAUAGGUAAUAAAAUUUUUGUUUUACAUACAAUAAACUGAGUUUGUUCUGUUAUUAAGAAAGGUAAUGGAUUCAUCUAGAAAAAUACCAAAUAAAAGACUCUAUUCCUUAUAUUUCACUGAAAACAAAUGUAGAUUUUUUACAUAAGGUAAAUGGAAUGUUUUAAGUGUGAUAGGUUUUACUAGUUUAUAAUUUUGCAGAGCAUUUGUAAAUUAUUUAAUGAUCAGACGAUCACACCUUGAUAAGAAAAAAAAAGAAAUCGGUAUGAAGAACUAUGUUUAAGGAUACAAAACAUGUAGCUUGAUUUCAGGUUUUCUUUUAUUUGAUAAGAUUGAAUGUUUUAUGUGAAUGUCUUCACAUCUCUUAUUCAUGUGAUUAUUUAUUAUUUUCAUAUAGAUUGUCAAAGAUUAUUAGUGAAUGAGUUUAGUUGUUAAGGCAUGAACUGUGGUAAUUAUGUCUUACCAAACUACCAUUAACCUGCACUAUGGUAGUAUGUAGAAUUGGAGAAAUAGCAAGGUAUAUUACAGGUGAUUAUGACUCUCCUAAAAUGUUGUUUAUACUCCAGUGGCAUAUAAAACAUAAGCCAUGUUUUUGUUUUUUUAAUUAUCACAAUCUGAAGUGUAGGUGAUAUUGUUUGUAAAUUAUAGUACAGUAUGUCUAUAUAAUACUUUAAUUUUGUCUCUUCUUUUAUGUUGUAACUUUCUUGUCAUGCCAUUAAGAAUAGGGUAUUGAGUUACAGGUACCCUGUAUGGAUGUAAGGGAAUGUAUUUUCAUAAUACUAUUUCGUGUUUGAAUAAUCUUGUCCAAUUUGAGCCUAAAUUGCUUUUGGAUUUUGAUUCCCACACAAAUAUGUAUGGAAAUAUUAAGAGCAACAUUUACUCUGAUGAAUGGCCUUAAAAAUACAUAUAUAUGUAUGUGAGUAUGCAAGAAAGAGUUUGAAUGUAGUUAUUUGAAGUUUGAAAGUUUUCUGGUUUACAAGAUAAUACAGGUAUUGAUAUAUUACUAUGCUAAGCAAAAGCUGCAGUGCAGCCUGUUGCAAAAUAUGUAAUGAGAUUGAUAGAAGGAGAAAUAAGGAAUAAUUUUUAGAUAGGGCAUCAAUGUGAAUGGUCUGAAUGGCCAAAGAAGAGUUGCAGUUUUGAUGAGAAUCUGGCACAGUAACAGAUUUGUCUAGUCUUCUUAAUCAUUAAGAAAUUGUGUCUAUUUUCUUUUCUAUAAAGAUAUGUGAUUUUUUUUAGAUUAUGGUGAAUGAUAGGUGUUAUGUAAUAUAUUUGAUUUAUCUUGACCAAUUAAAGAAUAAAGAUUUAGUCAUAAUA